rnacentral:rRNA from 1 species
GACGAAGGAUGCAAGCGUUAUCCGGAUUCAUUGGGUUUAGAGGGAGCGUAGGUGGCCUUAUAAGUCAGUGGUGAAAUCUCUGGGCUUAACCCAGAAAUUGCCAUUGAUACUGUAGGGCUUGAGUAUAGUUGCCGUUGGCGGAAUAUGACAUGUAGUGGUGAAAUACAUAGAGAUGUCAUAGAACACCGAUUGCGAAGGCAGCUGACGAAACUAUAACUGACACUGAGGCUCGAAAGUGCGGGGAUCAAACAGG